GUAAAUAAAGUUUAUUAAAACAUCAGACUGUGAACCUGAAGAUAGAGGAUAAAAUCCUCUUAUUUACC
ensembl:Mt_tRNA